GGUCCAGACUCCUACGGGAGGCAGCAGUGGGGAAUAUUGGGCAAUGGGCGAAAGCCUGACCCAGCAACGCCGCGUGAAGGAAGAAGGCUUUCGGGUUGUAAACUUCUUUUGACAGGGAAGAGCAGAAGACGGUACCUGACUAAGAAGCCCCGGCUAACUACGUGCCAGCAGCCGCGGUAAUACGUAGGGGGCGAGCGUUAUCCGGAUUCACUGGGUGUAAAGGGAGCGUAGACGGUUAUGUAAGUCUGGAGUGAAAGCCCGGGGGCCAACCCCGGGACUGCUUUGGAAACUGUGUAACUGGAGUACAGGAGGGGCAGGCGGAAUUCCUGGUGUAGCGGUGAAAUGCGUAGAUAUCAGGAGGAACACCGGCGGCGAAGGCGGCCUGCUGGACUGAAACUGACGUUGAGGCUCGAAAGCGUGGGGAGCAAACAGGAUUAGAUACCCCUGUAC
rnacentral:rRNA from 1 species